AAUGAACGCUGGCGGCAGGCCUAACACAUGCAAGUCGAACGGAUCCUUCGGGAUUAGUGGCGGACGGGUGAGUAACGCGUGGGAACAUACCCUUUGGUACGGAAUAGCCUCGGGAAACUGGGAGUAAUACCGUAUGUGGUCGAGAGACGAAAGAUUUAUCGCCAAAGGAUUGGCCCGCGUUGGAUUAGGUAGUUGGUGGGGUAAUGGCCUAACAAGCCGACGAUCCAUAGCUGGUUUGAGAGGAUGAUCAGCCACACUGGGACUGAGACACGGCCCAGACUCCUACGGGAGGCAGCAGUGGGGAAUCUUAGACAAUGGGGGAAACCCUGAUCUAGCCAUGCCGCGUGAACGAUGAAGGCCUUAGGGUUGUAAAGAUCUUUCAGGUGGGAAGAUAAUGACUGUACCACCAGAAGAAGCCCCGGCUAACUCCGUGCCAGCCGCCGCGGUAA
rnacentral:rRNA from 1 species